rnacentral:rRNA from 1 species
AUGAACGCUGGCGGCGUGCCUAAUACAUGCAAGUCGCGCGAACAGACGAGGAGCUUGCUCCUUUGACGUUAGCGGCGGACGGGUGAGUAACACGUGGGUAACCUACCUAUAAGACUGGGAUAACUUCGGGAAACCGGAGCUAAUACCGGAUAAUAUUUCGAACCGCAUGGUUCGAUAGUGAAAGAUGGCUCUGCUAUCACUUAUAGAUGGACCUGCGCCGUAUUAGCUAGUUGGUAAGGUAACGGCUUACCAAGGCAACGAUACGUAGCCGACCUGAGAGGGUGAUCGGCCACACUGGAACUGAGACACGGUCCAGACUCCUACGGGAGGCAGCAGUAGGGAAUCUUCCGCAAUGGGCGAAAGCCUGACGGAGCAACGCCGCGUGAGUGAUGAAGGUCUUCGGAUCGUAAAACUCUGUUAUUAGGGAAGAACAAACGUGUAAGUAACUGUGCACGUCUUGACGGUACCUAAUCAGAAAGCCACGGCUAACUACGUG